GCGGAAAUAGCUCAGUGGUAGAGCAUCGCCUUGCCAAGGCGAGGGUCGCGGGUUCGAAUCCCGUUUUCCGCUCCA
rnacentral:tRNA from 4 species